ensembl:snRNA U6 U6 spliceosomal RNA
GUGCUCACUUCAGGAACUCAUGUACUAAAAUCAGAACGAUACGAGAGGAUUAGCAUGGCCCCUGUGCAAGGGUGACACGUAAAAUACCUUCAAAAUGGAUCAGUCAUGU